UACGUAGGGUGCGAGCGUUAAUCGGAAUUACUGGGCGUAAAGCGUGCGCAGGCGGUUAUGUAAGACAGGUGUGAAAUCCCCGGGCUCAACCUGGGAACUGCAUCUGUGACUGCAUAGCUAGAGUACGGUAGAGGGGGAUGGAAUUCCGCGUGUAGCAGUGAAAUGCGUAGAUAUGCGGAGGAACACCGAUGGCGAAGGCAAUCCCCUGGGCCUGUACUGACGCUCAUGCACGAAAGCGUGGGGAGCAAACAGG
rnacentral:rRNA from 1 species